AAACUCCGAGGUGUGAUGACGAGGCUCCACGCGAGCCGAAGUGAAUAACGCCCCGCUUCCAGGAAAAGCCUCUAAGCUUCAGAUCACAUUGGACCGUACCGUAAACCGACACUGGUGGGCGAGCAGAUAAUCUGCCAAGGCGCUUGAGAGAACUCGGGUUAAGGAACUCUGCAAAUUGAUACCGUAACUUCGGAAGAAGGUAUGCCUUCGACGGUGUAGGGAUUUACUCCCGAAGCUGUUGAAGGUCGCAGGUAAUCGGUGGCUGCGACUGUUUAUCAAAAACACAGGACUCUGCGAACACGCAAGUGGAAGUAGGGUCUGACGCCUGCCCGGUGCCGGAAGGUUAAUUGAUGGGGUUAGCCGCAAGGCGAAGCUCUUGAUCGAAGCCCCGGUAAACGGCGGCCGUAACAAUAACGGUCCUAAGGUAGCGAAAUUCCUUGUCGGGUAAGUUCCGACCUGCACGAAUGGCGUAACGCUGGCCACACUGUCUCGACCCGAGACUCAGUGAAGUUGAAAUCGCUGUGAAGAUGCGGCGUUCCCGCGGCAAGACGGAAAGACCCCGUGAACCUUCACUACAGCUUUACACUGAACUUUGAACCUUUCUGUGUAGGAUAGGUGGGAGGCUAUGAAACUUGGGCGCUAGCUCGAGUGGAGCCAACCUUGAAAUACCACCCUGGGAUGUUUGAAGUUCUAACCUUGGUCCGUAAUCCGGAUUGGGGACAGUGUAUGGUGGGUAGUUUGACUGGGGCGGUCUCCUCCCAAAGAGUAACGGAGGAGUGCAAUGGUACGCUCAGCGCGGUCGGUCAUCGCGCUCUAGAGUGCAAAGGCAUAAGCGUGCUUAACUGUGAGACAGACACGUCGAACAGAUACGAAAGUAGGUCUUAGUGACCCGGUGGUUCUGUAUGGAAGGGCCAUCGCUCAACGGAUAAAAGGUACUCCGGGGAUAACAGGCUUAUUCCUCCCAAGAGUCCACAUCGACGGAGGAGUUUGGCACCUCGAUGUCGGCUCAUCACAUCCUGGGGCUGUAGCAGGUCCCAAGGGUAUGGCUGUUCGCCAUUUAAAGUGGUACGCGAGCUGGGUUCAGAACGUCGUGAGACAGUUCGGUCCCUAUCUGCCGUGGGCGUUGGAAACUUGAGGAGCUGUCCUUAGUACGAGAGGACCGGGAUGGACGUAUCUCUGGUGUUCCGGUUGUCACGCCAGUGGCACUGCCGGGUAGCUAUAUACGGACGGGAUAAGCGCUGAAAGCAUCUAAGCGCGAAGCCCCCCCCAAGAUUAGGUUUCCCUGGGAACUCGAUUCCCCUAAAGGGCCGUCGGAGACUACGACGUUGAUAGGCUGGGUGUGUAAGUGCAGCAAUGCAUUGAGCUAACCAGUACUAAUUGCCCGUGAGGCUUGACCC
rnacentral:rRNA from 1 species